UCUGGCGGGGGGAUUCAGUUCGGAGAGGCGGAGGCGUCGUUCGGUCGAUUCCAACGGACCCUUACCGGGGCCGGGCCGACGACGCGGUCUCCGUUUCACCGGACGCAUUUCCUCCCGCACUAAGGACGCCGCAGCCGGUUGGGUAGCUGCGUGAGUCGGCCAUGAGGACGGGCGCCGGCAGGUGGCCGGUGGAGUUGCUUCGGCUUCUCCGCCGGUUGUUAGCCAGCUCGUCCGUGGCGCGACACCCGACCGAGGUUGAACGGUUCCCGCAUGGGAACUCGCCGUCCCCUUCCCUUUCUGGGAGUGGGCGCUCUGGCAGGCGUAUCGCGGUGUUGCCACGUCACUCUUCGUAGUGGCCGGUGCUCCGAGUUCGCUGUUGGCUGGAAGCGUCCCGCGGGGGUGCAUGCGGCUAGCGGCGAGUAGGUCGGUCACCCACCCGACCCGUCUUGAAACACGGACCAAGGAGUCUAACAUGUGCGCGAGUCACGGGGUCUUGAUUAGGCCCAGAGGCGCAAUGAAAGUGAAGGUCGACCUCGACGUCGACUGUGUUGGGAUUUCUUGUCCUUCGGGGCGAGGAAGCACCAACGACCCGUCCUAUCCGAUUUAUCGGUUGGGCGGAGUCUGAGCGUACACGUUGGAGCCCGAAAGUUGGUGAACUAUGCCUGGGCAGGACGAAGCCAGAGGAAACUCUGGUGGAGGUCCGUAGCGGUUCUGACGUGCAAAUCGAUCGUCAGACCCGGGUAUAGGGGCGAAAGAC
rnacentral:rRNA from 1 species